UACCGUUUGUGAUUGUUGGCGCGGCUGCGAGCUGUGCACUUCUGUAAGGAAGAAGUUGGAGCCCGGCCUCGGGGGAGAGCUAUGCAGACUCGGACCAGCACCACCGGGAUCUUAGUUCCCCGACCAGGACUGAACCCGCACCCUAGGCAGUGAAAGUGAGGAGUCCUAACCACUGGACCACCAGGGAAUUCCCAAGAUUGACUUUACGGGCCAAUGAAGUCCUUUGGAAAAGCAUCCUGGUACCUUGCUAACAGGGUUCCCAGCGCCUUACCACAAAUGUCUCUUAUUAAAUACCUGAUUGCUUGCACCAUAGGCCUAGCUUUGGGAGCCCCCCUGCAUCACUGCCUCCUAAAAUAAGAGGACGAUUCAGAGGAGGGAACUGUCAAACCCGAGCUGUGGUUCCGGGACACAGUGAAAGGACCUAUUCUA